UUUCCUGAUCCAAGUUCUCUUUCUAGCAGCGCAUUUGCUUCUAAUGAAGAUGCUUCUACCUUUGGAACUGUUGUUUUGCGUGGCCAAUAUGAUGAAUCCGAUUCUCCUCGAACUCCAAGAUCCAGGCUAGGAAGUCAAGAGAGAACUUCAAGUGCAUCAGUUGAAGAUAGCGCAUCUAAUCUUGCAGAGAU